ACCAAUGAGCGCGGCUGUCCCGGCCGCCCACCCAUGUAUGGGCGUGUGUUUUGCUAAUCGCCUUGGAGGCAGAUUUCAAACAAAACCUGCGACCUUAUAAACCGUCAACGCCCGGCACGCCUUAUUCAUUAGAACACCACGCUUUCUGCUAGAUUCUACGCCGGCAUGACGAUUUUAUCAGGUCCCCUGCAUGUGUGAAAUCCGCGGGGUUGAGCUGGUUGCGCCGCCGAACGUGCCCGCCAGCUCGUCGGCAGGGAGAGCGCUUUGAUCCCGCCGGUGUCAACUUGAGCCCUCGGUCCUUCAACUUGACUCAUCUUGGCGGGAAAAACCAAGGUGUCGGCUCCUUUGUACCCCAGGUGUGAACAGCUUCUGGCUGAAGAGAUUGGAUAGCCUGAGACCCAUAACUUGACCAUCACAAUGGUGAAAGCAGAGACAUGUGUACAGGAGGACUCUCCCACGAUAGUACAAACUGCCUCAUGCUACAGAUAUGGCCACACAAGCGGGGAAUCUGGCUUCACUGCUGAAGCAGACGCACUCUGUGCCCUAGACAGAAGGACUCUAGAAGUUUCCAGUACAGAAUGCUCCUGUAGAUUCCAUAUACGACACUGGCAUUCCGACCGUUUUUACGGAAGCCAGACUGGAAGAUCGAAUGCCAUUCCAUGGACAGAAAAUUACUUGCCUUCCAAUAUCAGGGCUUUGACACAUACAGAACUGCUGCCGUCAUCUGCUUUAUGUCAAAGUUCUGACAUUUUUGUAAGUCAACUCAUAGCCAGAUGUUUGCGUGCAAUACGAGACAAUCAGACAGAGGGCGCAAGUGAGACAGAAAGCAGUCCCGACCAUGAUAGAGUAGACUUUGGACACGUAUUAUCGCAGUUACUAUUGUGGAAAGAAGAUGACUUCAGUAUUAGAACAGUAGAACCCUCCAAACAGUGUAGUGUUAGCAACGUUAGUUUAUUAUCAGAUUUUCUGGCGUUACUUUUCGGAAAGAUAGACAGGCAAACAUUUGGUUCUGUGACCUUGGAAAGGACAGGAAGGUCGUCCGUUGGUCAUGUGACAUCAGGAACGGAGUGUCAAUCGUCAGAAGGCCCCGUGACGUGUGCACCGGAAGGAAGCGAAGGGAAAGAGGAAACGUCCAGCUCCUCAAGCUCAGAAACCUCGUCGGACGACAGCUGUUCGGACUCUGCGUCUAAUGGUGGCCGUGACUGCGCAGCGCCGAGCCGGUUCUCCCAGGC